UAAGGAAAAUUGUAAUUUACUGAGAGCAUGAACUAUUCACAAAUAAGAAUACAAGACGGAAUGCAUUCUGCAGAGGAGCAGUCACGUUCCUGCCCCAGGGAUUUUUCACUGGCCUUCUCUCUGCCUGAAUAUUUUCCCCUGCAUGGAUCAUUCCAAGUCUUUCAGCAAAUGCCACCUUCUUAGGUAAAGUCAUGGAAAAUGAAGAAUGGAUUAAGCAUGGUGCUUGCUGAAAGCAAAUGUGUUUUUAGCUGUUAUGAAACAAAAUGAGAUCUAUAAAUACCAGUAAUCUAUAGAAUGUAUACCACUAGAAAAUGUUUGUUUUUUGUGUUGUUAUUUCUUUAUUAAUGGUAAAAAUAAUACAGGGAUGACAAAUGCCUUUCAUUUUGAAAAAUAUAUAUA